UGCCCCAGUAACGGCGAGUGAAGCGGCAACAGCUCAAAUUUGAAAUCUGGCUCUCGGGCCCGAGUUGUAAUUUGUAGAGGAUGCUUUUGGUGAGGUGCCUUCCGAGUUCCCUGGAACGGGACGCCAUAGAGGGUGAGAGCCCCGUCUGGUUGGACACCGAUCCUCUGUAAAGCUCCUUCGACGAGUCGAGUAGUUUGGGAAUGCUGCUCUAAAUGGGAGGUAUAUGUCUUCUAAAGCUAAAUACCGGCCAGAGACCGAUAGCGCACAAGUAGAGUGAUCGAAAGAUGAAAAGAACUUUGAAAAGAGAGUUAAACAGUACGUGAAAUUGUUGAAAGGGAAGCGCUUGUGACCAGACUUGGGCUUGGUUGAUCAUCCGGGGUUCUCCCCGGUGCACUCUUCCGGCUCAGGCCAGCAUCAGUUCGCCCUGGGGGAUAAAGGCUUCGGGAAUGUGGCUCUCUCCGGGGAGUGUUAUAGCCCGCUGCGUAAUACCCUGUGGCGGACUGAGGUUCGCGCAUUCGCAAGGAUGCUGGCGUAAUGGUCAUCAGUGACCCGUCUUGAAACACGGACCAAGGAGUCGUCUUCGUAUGCGAGUGUUCGGGUGUCAAACCCCUACGCGAAAUGAAAGUGAACGCAGGUGAGAGCUUCGGCGCAUCAUCGACCGAUCCUGAUGUUAUCGGAUGGAUUUGAGUAAGAGCAUACGGGGCCGGACCCGAAAGAAGGUGAACUAUGCCUGUGUAGGGUGAAGCCAGAGGAAACUCUGGUGGAGGCUCGCAGCGGUUCUGACGUGCAAAUCGAUCGUCAAACAUGGGCAUG
rnacentral:rRNA from 1 species